rnacentral:misc_RNA from 1 species
AAGUCGUAACAAGGUUUCCGUAGGUGAACCUGCGGAAGGAUCAUUAUUGAAUAAUCUGGUGUUGAUGCUGGCCCUUUGGGCAUGUGCUCACAUCAUCUUAUUUAUCUAUCUCUUGUGCACCUUUUGUAGUCUUUGAAGUGAACCGGGGCUUGGACUAGUCCCUGCCCUGCUCGCUUCAAGGGCUAUGUUUUCAUACACACUAUUAAAGUUACAGAAUGUCUCUUUAUUGACUUUUGUGGUCAGUAAAAUCUAUACAACUUUCAGCAACGGAUCUCUUGGCUCUC